GAUGAAGAACGCAGCCAAAUGCGAUAAGUAAUGUGAAUUGCAGAAUUCAGUGAAUCAUCGAAUCUUUGAACGCACAUUGCGCCCGCCAGCACUCUGGCGGGCAUGCCUGUUCGAGCGUCAUUUCAACCAUCAAGCCCCCAGGGGCUUGUGCUGGGGCCCUGCGGCUGCCCGCAGGCCCUGAAAACCAGUGGCGGGCUCGCUAGUCACACCGAGCGCAGUAGCACAUCUCGCUCAGGGCGUGCGGCGGGCUCCUGCCGUGAAACCCCCCACUGUAACCCCAAAGGUUGACCUCGGAUCAGGUAGGAAUACCCGCUGAACUUAAGCAUAUCAAUAAGCGGAGGA
rnacentral:misc_RNA from 1 species